GCCAGUGUGGCUUAGUGGUUUGAGCAUUGGGUUAAUACUCUGGAGACCAGGGUUCGAAUCCCAGCUCAGUCA